AGCACACAAGUUUCUUCAGACGGUUCUCGCCAUGAUGGAGCUUCAUGUUGCUGGUGGUCUGAGACUGCAGAGUGCCUGAAGGAGAAGCCAGGGAAGGCAAAGCAGAUAUAACAAUUACAGAAGAGACAUUUGUGUCACCUGUAAUGACAACACAACAUAAAAAGUGACUGGAGUGUGGCUGUUCUGGAGU